GACACAAUUUGUUAAAUUGCCCAGGUUAGAUUGAAACUUGGGAUCCUACGCCUUAGCUUCCUGGUUAGAUGGGAUUGCAGGUGUGGGCCACGGUGCCCAGCUAGAACUUCUUAUACUCACUAUGCUGCUUUGUUCUGUUUUGUUGUUGUUGUUUUAGUUUGUUUUUUCCCCUGCAGUGCUAGAGAUGGAACUCAGGGACGCCAGAUGCUAGACAAGCACUCUACCACUGAGCUAUACCUCCAGCCCUAUGCUGCUGCUUAUUGCUUUAUUCUUCAAGUUAGUGAGCUCUAGUGGAAAAGAACUCAGGGUUAAGAGGUUCCAAUGACUGUCCGCCAAGAGCCUUGUCUCCUACCUCCAUCGACCCUUUCUCAGGAAAUGCUCAGAGAAGUUAAGAGCUUGGUUUUUAGAUGCAUUUGUUAUCAGCCAGGACCCAAAGCAGGUUGUCCUGACUCUUGUCUAAUGUCUUCAGACAACAUGACCCCUCUGAUGCCCACUCUGUGUAAAGCUCGAUUUUCUCAGGACCCUGCCCCUCUUCCAGAGGGGAAUUUGAAGGAGGAGGACAGAAGAACUCAUAAACUCUUAGAAGUCUUAAAGCCAUGUCCAAGGUAAGAAGCAUUUCUCUAAAACACCAUCUUAUUUUUCAGGUUAUAUAAAC
rnacentral:lncRNA from 1 species